rnacentral:rRNA from 1 species
GACGGAGGGUGCUAGCGUUGUUCGGAAUUACUGGGCGUAAAGGGUGCGUAGGUGGCGGGGUAAGUCAGGUGUGAAAUCUCGGAGCUCAACUCCGAAACUGCACUUGAUACUGCCUUGCUCGAGUACUGGAGAGGAGAUUGGAAUUUACGGUGUAGCAGUGAAAUGCGUAGAUAUCGUAAGGAAGACCAGUGGCGAAGGCGAAUCUCUGGACAGUUACUGACACUGAGGCACGAAGGCCAGGGGAGCAAACGGG